CGGCCGGGAACUCAAAGGAGACUGCCAGUGAUAAACUGGAGGAAGGUGGGGAUGACGUCAAGUCAUCAUGGCCCUUACGACCAGGGCUACACACGUGCUACAAUGGCAUAUACAAAGAGAAGCGACCUCGCGAGAGCAAGCGGACCUCAUAAAGUAUGUCGUAGUCCGGAUUGGAGUCUGCAACUCGACUCCAUGAAGUCGGAAUCGCUAGUAAUCGUAGAUCAGAAUGCUACGGUGAAUACGUUCCCGGGCCUUGUACACACCGCCCGUCACACCAUGGGAGUGGGUUGCAAAAGAAGUAGGUAGCUUAACCUUCGGGAGGGCGCUUACCACUUUGUGAUUCAUGACUGGGGUGAAGUCGUAACAAGGUAACCGUAGGGGAACCUGCGG
rnacentral:rRNA from 1 species